AACGAACGCUGGCGGCAGGCUUAACACAUGCAAGUCGAACGCAUCCUUCGGGGUGAGUGGCAGACGGGUGAGUAACGCGUGGGAACGUGCCCUUCAGUUCGGGAUAACCCAGGGAAACUUGGGCUAAUACCGGAUACGUGCGAGAGCAGAAAGAUUUAUCGCUGAAGGAUCGGCCCGCGUCUGAUUAGCUAGUUUGUGGGGUAAUGGCCCACCAAGGCGACGAUCAGUAGCUGGUCUGAGAGGAUGAUCAGCCACAUUGGGACUGAGACACGGCCCAGACGCCUGCGGGAGGCAGCAGUGGGGAAUAUUGGACAAUGGGCGCAAGCCUAAUCCAGCCAUGCCGCGUGAGUGAUGAAGGCCUUAGGGUUGUAAAGCUCUUUCGUCCGGGACGAUAAUGACGGUACCGGAAGAAGAAGCCCCGGCUAACUUCGUGCCAGCAGCCGCGGUAA
rnacentral:rRNA from 1 species